rnacentral:misc_RNA from 1 species
GAUGAAGAACGUUGCGAAAUGCGAUAAGUAGUGUGAAUUGCAGAAUUCAGUGAAUCAUCGAAUCUUUGAACGCACAUUGCGCCCUUUGGUAUUCCAAAGGGCAUGCCUGUUCGAGCGUCAUUUGUACCCUCAAGCUUUGCUUGGUGUUGAGCGUCUUGUCUCUAGCUUUGCUGGAGACUCGCCUUAAAGUAAUUGGCAGCCGGCCUACUGGUUUCGGAGCGCAGCACAAGUCGCACUCUCUAUCAGCAAAGGUCUAGCAUCCAUUAAGCCUUUUUUUUCAACUUUUGACCUCGGAUCAGGUAGGGAUACCCGCUGAACUUAAGCAUAUCAAUAAGCGGAGGA